CCUACGGGAGGCAGCAGUGGGGAAUUUUGGACAAUGGGCGAAAGCCUGAUCCAGCAAUGCCGCGUGAGCGAAGAAGGCCUUCGGGUUGUAAAGCUCUUUUGUCAGGGAAGAAACGGUGAGGGCUAAUAUCCCUUGCUAAUGACGGUACCUGAAGAAUAAGCACCGGCUAACUACGUGCCAGCAGCCGCGGUAAUACGUAGGGUGCAAGCGUUAAUCGGAAUUACUGGGCGUAAAGCGUGCGCAGGCGGUUUUGUAAGUCUGAUGUGAAAUCCCCGGGCUCAACCUGGGAAUUGCAUUGGAGACUGCAAGGCUAGAAUCUGGCAGAGGGGGGUAGAAUUCCACGUGUAGCAGUGAAAUGCGUAGAUAUGUGGAGGAACACCGAUGGCGAAGGCAGCCCCCUGGGUCAAGAUUGACGCUCAUGCACGAAAGCGUGGGGAGCAAACAGGAUUAGAUACCCUGGUAGUCCACGCCCUAAACGAUGUCUACUAGUUGUCGGGUCUUAAUUGACUUGGUAACGCAGCUAACGCGUGAAGUAGACCGCCUGGGGAGUACGGUCGCAAGAUUAAAACUCAAAUGAAUUGACGG
rnacentral:rRNA from 1 species